ensembl:lncRNA
GGCCUGCCUGACACUCUUUCCCUGUUGCACUACUGUGCGCCCCUGGCAAGCAGUGCAAUGAUGAAAGGGCAUCGGUCAGGCCCCACCCACCACCCGCAGCGCCUGGGCAGGGAGUCUGGCCACCUCACUCCACUAACCAGCAAGGAGGUGCAGGCGGGGAGCUGGGCUGGCGGGCUGUCCAUCGGAGGAUCAGAACGGCAGAGCUGGGAGGUUCUCUCCCAACCUCUCCAGCUAGGUUGUGGCUGGACAGGGGGUGGGGCAGACUCGGAAAACCUAUGGUUUGAAGAGGAUCUUUGCAACCAACUCACAGGGAUGUGUACUGCCCUGAGCCUGCAGGAGGGACGGUGAAGUGCCCAGCAUCCCACCUGCACAGCUGCAAUCGGGGGGACUGGAGCCGACCUGCCAAGGAGAUUGGCCCCAGGCAUGCCUGCAGGGCCCCCUCAGCAUCAGGACCAGACACAAAGGAUUUUCAAGUGCCCAGUGGCAGCCAUUCAAGCCUGUCUCCUUGAGAGGGGGCCCAUUCGUGUCUGAAGGGGCAUUUGGGAGUACCCUUCAUCAAUGGCUGUGCCCAGAGGGACAAGGGUAGAUGCCCUGGCACCCAGGGUAGGAUGAGGGGCAAUGACACAUGCUUGUCUACCUCCUAGGCCUGACCCCUUGCUCCUAUGCAGACUCUGUACCCCAUGGCCAAACAUGCCAUGCAGCUGUUUCCUGCCUUUGCUGGGAACUCAAGGCUCUGCUCAAAUGUCCCCUCCUAAGGAAAGCCUCGGAGAAGGCAAUGGCACCCCACUCCAGUACUCUUGCCUGGAAAAUCCCAUGGACGGAGGAGCCUGGUGGGCUGCAGUCCGUGGGGUCGCUAAGAGUUGGACACGACUGAGCGACUUCAUUUUCACUUUUCACUUUCAUGCACUGGAGAAGGAAAUGGCAACCCUCUCCAGUGUUCUUGCCUGGAGAAUCCCAGGGACGGGGGAGCCUGGUGGGCUGCCGUCCAUGGGGUCGCACGGAGUCGGACACGACUGAGGCGACUCAGCAGCAGCAGCAGCAAGGAGAGCCUUCCCCGGGCUCCAGGGCGCCCAGUGUUCCUCCUCACGGCCGGUUAGAUCACAUUUUCCACCUGUGGCUGAAGCCCUCUUUAGAUUAGGAGCCCCUGAAAGCAGCAAACAUUUCCUUUUGGCGGUGCUUGACACGGCAUACUUUAAAAAAUCCAAAGAAACAUACAAAGCAUGAAGUAUUAUAAGCAUAAACAUGAAGGGGAUGUUAACAAGGGCCUCCCUGACUCUUAGAGGAUGCUUGUCCUGGUUUUAAAAAAGCACAUACUGCGUGUUUUAGAGUCAGGUCCGAAAGUCACAGGUGGUGGCCAGGCAACAGAAUGGAGAUUUGGAGGCAGCAGUAUCUGAGUCUGCCUGCAGCCCUAGGCAAGAUACACAGGCCAGACCUCUCCUUCCUUGCAGGAGGCAGGCGUCAAAGUGGGAGGAAGUGAAGGCCACCUCCUGUGUUGGGGAUAGCUGGGGCUGGAGGUUUGGUGGUAGGAGGUGAAAAAAAGUCUCAAGAUACAGGGGCUGACAGGAGGAGGUGUGGGGAGGGGCCAGGAACAUGUGCUCCAGGGAGCACCACCGCCCCCCCUUAAGAUACUGGAAUGGAUGGUGGUUG